ACUCCUACGGGAGGCAGCAGUGGGGAAUAUUGCACAAUGGGGGAAACCCUGAUGCAGCGACGCCGCGUGAGUGAUGAAGUAUUUCGGUAUGUAAAGCUCUAUCAGCAGGGACGAAAAAGACGGUACCUGACUAAGAAGCCCCGGCUAACUACGUGCCAGCAGCCGCGGUAAUACGUAGGGGCAAGCGUUAUCCGGAUUUACUGGGUGUAAAGGGAGCGUAGGUGGUAUGAUAAGUCAGAUGUGAAAGCCCAGGGCUUAACCCUGGGACUGCAUUUGAAACUGUCAAACUAGAGUGCAGGAGAGGUAAGUGGAAUUCCUAGUGUAGCGGUGAAAUGCGUAGAGAUCGGAAGGAACACCAGUGGCGAAGGCGGCUACCUGGACUAAUACUGACACUGAGGCACGAAAGCGUGGGUAGCAAACAGGAUUAGAUACCCUGGUAGGUC
rnacentral:rRNA from 1 species